UCAAAAAAGACAAACGCAGAGCUGUGCCCAGCACGGGGAAGAGGGCAGAAGAAAUGCAGUGGAAGCGAAAUCGGCUUGCCAGAUUGCAUUUCACUCAAGGGCAACGCUGUAGAAGGCUCUGGAUUGCAAUCGUCACAAAGUUGCCCCGGGACUUUGGAACGCGCUUCCUAAUGAAAUUAGAGUUUCCUCUUCUCUGAUUGUUUUUAAGAAGGACCUGAAAACAUACCUGUUUAGCCAGAUUCACAGCAAAUUCUGAACAGACACACAAAAAGCAGGAGAAGGCACAGAACACGGAGAUGCCGGGAGAUGAUCAGCAAUUCAAAGCAAGCAUCGCAAUAAAGAUCCUGGUACUGGCUGGAGCCGGCGAGCAGCUGUCCAAAGGAAAAAGGCCCAGAGCACCAAACAAGAAAGCUUUUCACCGGCCGCCAAUGAGAGCCGGCUUAAAAUAAUACCGCCACAC